GUGAAUCAUCGAAUUUUUGAACGCAAAUUGCACUCUCCUCGGAGAGUAUGAGUGUUUGAGGGUCAGCCUAUAAAAAAUCGACAUCGUUGAUGUUUCGCGGUGGCGUUCGUCGGAAAUUGGGCCAUCUUAAAUCUUGUUGGUUUUUAAGCGACUUAAAAUUUUUUUUUUGGUUACAUGAACGUUUCUAAGAUUUAUUUCUUUACACGUUUAAGGUAUCGAUUAUUAUUAGAUGUGACAAUCAUAUCGGAUAGCGUCCAUAAUCUUUCAUUAACUGACCUCAGACAGGUAUGAGUACUC
rnacentral:misc_RNA from 1 species